CAGGAGGGUAAUUAGGUUUAUUUAUUUGUUUCAUUUUUUAAAAUGAGGUACUGGUGUUUGAACCCAGGACAUCGUACAUGCUAAGCACGUGCUCUACCACUGAACUGUACCCUCCUCCCCAAGGCAAGUUUUCUUAUCCAUUAUUCUGAAGCUUAGGAGUUCAAAUAAAUUGGAUAGAAAACCAGAUCUUUUGAUCCCACUGUAGUACUUUUCUUUAUAUUCUGCUGAAGGAGGUUGGGGAAAGCACUUCCUUUGUUCAUUUCCUUAUUCAGCAUUUUUCAGCAGUGACUUUGCAUCAGGGCCUUGGUAGGUGCUUGGAAACAGAAAACAAGAAAUGACCCUUCUCUGCAGGGCAGGAAGCCUAGACCAAAAGCUGGGUAAUGUGAUCCGAGCUACGGUAGCCAUUUGAAGACUCUGAGGACAAACUGUACCCCCGGAUUUACUUGAGCUUCCCUUGCCUUCUGGUUGGUACACACCAGGUCACCGCAACCCAGAUGGGCCUGCAGCCCACAGUACAGUAUGUACCUCGAUCUCCUCUCCCCUCUCGUCAGGGCCUGCAACAUGAGCAUCCCUGACUACGUGCAGUGUGCUGAGGACCACCAGACUUUCCCCGUGGUGGUCGAACACGUGGGGAUCAUCUCAGAGGAGAAUUUCUUUUGCAUCUAUAAGUGAAUCACCUUGGUGAGUCAGAUCAGUCCGUGCAGCUCCCAGUGGGCAAACUGUAUCCACUACAGGCACCACUAUGCGCCCAAGAAUGGGUGGAGCGACUUCCAGACCCACCGCAAGGUCUUGGGCCUUGUCAUCAUUACUGACUGCCUCUCGGCCAAGGCUUCGAAAAGCUCCACGUGCAGAGGAGCUGUAUGGCACCACGCUCUAUGACUCUCAGCUCUUUGACUUUCUGCUGCAUGGGGAGGUGGCCGAGCAGCCGCGCACCGAAGUGGCCUUCAAUUUACGAGGACUGCAGGGUGGUGGAGAAGAGGAUCGACGACUUCACUGAGUCACUCUUCAUCUUACCCAAGUCCAAGUGGCUGGACGGUGCAUCCGACAAUUCUGGGGACAAGAUCCUCCUUCUCUGCAUCCCAUUUUAGAAGGAGGACAUCAUGGGACUGGACACAGAAAGCAGUACGUUUUGGUUACUGAGUCCCUCGAAUUCCCAUAUGAAUAAUAGCAGCAGCUAGUCAGUUACUGCAGAGGAGCCCACUGGGAUUGUGAUCGAGACCACGUUGAGUAUACAGAUCGCUCUGGGGAGCACUGCCAUCCCAAGAGCGUUGUCAUCUGAUCCAGGAAUGUGCGUGGUGUGUCUGUCCAGGUGCCCUCACCUCCAGUGGCAUCCAUCCAGACACCAGCACUGACACUGGCCGUGCUCAGAACUGCCUCAGCCCUGAAGACACAACUGACAAAUAGAAGGGGGCUACGCCCUAUGACAGCAGAUGCUCUCACUUUGUGGGUCCUUAUGUAACUGCGCGGUGUUAUUCAGGAUCGCCCGUUCUACACUGUGUGACGCUGCUGCCGUGUCUCCUAGUUAUUUCUGAAAGGCAAGGCUCCCUCACAGCUGCGACGGAGAAGGAAUCCCCGGAGUCAGCCUCCGGGCAGCUUCCGAACCGCAUCUGCUUGCACUUGGCACAGGACACCAUAAGCAAGUGUAACUCUGACAAGAAGAUUUCCCCGGGGACCUGGGAGGUGCUCAUUGUGAAGCCACUUGUUUCCCAGUUAGGAUGAAAUUCUUGAAGACGACUCCCUGACCUGAAGGGAUGGAUGGAGGAGGAAAGAAAAGAAGACAAGCAUCUUUGGCCCAUAAAAAAUGAGAGGUAACCAGAUGGUGGCUAGUUUUCAUUGCACCUCUCUGCCAGCCUCAAUUUCACAUGCCCCUCCCAACUCAGCUCAUCGGAACUCCACUGAAGGAGACGGCUUUGCAAAUUUAUUGGUAGCCAAAGAAAUCGCUUGAGAAAUAGUCUCCCAAACCCAGCGAGAACACUGAAAGCUGACAAGUGCCAGAAUCAGAAUACUAAAACACACAGAUUCAAGCUCCGACACCCUCCCUGGUGGGUGUACUUACAGUGGGGGUGUGGCCGUGCAAUUUGUCAGCAUCCAACAUAUAAAAAUGAAAGGGACACCAGUUUUCAACAUCACAGUCCCUCUGAAACAACUGGUAGUCAAUUA